UAAACUCUACAGGACAGCGGCACUCCAGGACCGAUGUUGCCUAUCCCUGGUGUAGACCAUGUCAAGCCAGCAGAUCAUCAGUGAAGGAGCAAAAUUAAUGCACUCCAAUUGUGAUCUCUUUGCAAGCUUGUCAAAGACAAGCCCAAUGACUGGGACAAGCACUUGGAUGCCGUUAUGUUUGGGCUUCGCACAAAGCGGCAGAUGACAACAAAGUACUCGCCAUACUUUUUAAUGUUUGGAAGAGAGGCCCAUUACCCUUCCAAAAUACCUGAGCACUAUUGGAUUGACAAGAGUGUGGAGGGCACAUUGUCAGUUGAGGAAUUAACCUAAUUGGAUAUUGCCAUCAGUGAGGUUUUGACUGAGGCUCAUGCACAUACCAGAGCUUCACAAGAGAGGGAUAGGCGACAAACACAACAAAAGAAAGCCCUGAACAAAUUCAAAGUGGGGGACAGAGUGUGGAGGCAAAAUAUAAGGAGCCAACAAGAGGAGGUCAGUAGUUCUGCUACUCUAACAAAAUUUGCUCACAAGUUAAGAAGAGUUUGCAGAUCAGCCAUGAAGCGUUUGGAAAACAGGGGCGCGUUAAAGAUUGGUGGUAACAGAGAACUUGUGGAAAUUGAUGAAGUAAAUUUAGGCACAAAAGAAAAGUAAGUGCUAUUAUGUCAAUUAACUAUUGUUUUUAUGAAAGACUAUUGACUGCUUAUUGUUUAUUAGUGAUUAUGUAGUCUAAUAUUCUGUGUGUGUGUGUGUGUAGUACAACAGAGCAAGGUUCCCAAGGUCAAACAAUCGACCAUCCUGGCCUUUUUAAAUGCUGGGAAUCCAUGGAAAACGCAGAAGACCAAUCUUAAAACUUGUCAAAAGAAGGUCAUGACUCGGGCUCCUGCUACACAUUGAGAAGCAUGUGGGACCACAAUUGUAAGUGACCACUGGCGAGCAUAUAACUGCCUUAGUGGCCACGGCUACAACCGUUUGCCUGUGAACAAGAGGAUCCAGCAACAGGAGCUCACACUCAACACAUCAAACGACUGUGGGCAGCUUGCAAAAGUGAAGUCUGGAGAAUUCAGACACAUUCAAAGACCAUCUGCAUGUUAUUCAGUGGGUCUACUGGAGAGGAACAAUGCACAGAGAUGGCCCUCUUGGAAUGUUGUUCCAUGAUAUUCGUAAAGAAAUUCAG